UGGGGAAUAUUGUGCAAUGGGCGGAAGCCUGACGCAGCGACGCCGCGUGAGGGAUGAAGGCCUUCGGGUUGUAAACCUCUUUCAGCAUCCACGAAGUUCCGGUAUUCGCCGGGGUGACGGUAGAUGCAGAAGAAGCGCCGGCUAACUACGUGCCAGCAGCCGCGGUAAUACGUAGGGCGCAAGCGUUGUCCGGAAUUAUUGGGCGUAAAGGGCUCGUAGGCGGCCAACUAAGUCAGACGUGAAAUCCCUCGGCUUAACCGGGGAACUGCAUCUGAUACUGGAUGGCUUGAGAUUGGGAGAGGGAUGCGGAAUUCCAGGUGUAGCGGUGAAAUGCGUAGAUAUCUGGAGGAACACCGGUGGCGAAGGCGGCAUCCUGGACCAACACUGACGCUGAGGAGCGAAAGCCAGGGGAGCAAACGG
rnacentral:rRNA from 1 species